ACACUUACCUGGACGGCGUUUAUGGGAAACCAAGAAUGCCCAUGACCUAGGUCGGUGACCUCCAUUGCACUUAUAGGAGGGGCUCACUCCUAAGGUCUCGCCAAGUGGGAGAGCCUACGUCAUUAUUUGUUGCACUGGGGGCCUUCGCCCCCU